GUUAAACUUAAAGAUACAACAUGUACGCAAGAUUCAAGAACUUAGAAGAAUCGUAUUUUAUCGAUGGAAGCGAAUAUAAGGGUACUUGGAGCACGUUUGGCAUGGAAGGAGUCGGUAAAUUCAUCAUGCCGCACAGUUAGUAUAUAUUUUAUUCUCUAUCAAGAAAUGUUACAAAAUAAUCUCGAAUAUGUAUUGCUUUACACCUUGCUUGAAUUGUUUGAGAAAAGAAGAAGGGGAAAAAAGUAGCAUAAAAAUACAAAAUAAUUAUAAGAAACAAGAGAUAAAUGAAAUGUAAAUAAAAAAAAUAUAAUAGAAAAAUAUUCACAAUUGAAAUAUAAUAUGAAUGUUAAAUCUUUUAGAACUUGGAAUUACUUGGUUUUGUAAAAUGUACACGUUAACGCCAAUAAUUGUGUCUAAGAUAUGUACAUAUGUAUAGCAUAUAUACUGGUUUUUGAGUACAACAUUGAGCAUUUCUCGCGCGUAAGUCGACGCGUACCGUUAUGCGACCAUUUUCGUCGCUUCGUGUUCUAGAGUUCGUAUGCGUUUUUCAUUUACCUAUAGCUCAAGUAUUUCAGUCUUAAAAUACAUGCAUUCACUACAUUACAAAUUUUAUAAAUCUGUAUUUAUACGCACGCACACACUUUUUCUCUUCCAUUUUUUUUUUUAUCAUAAUCUUUUGAUCUUUUUCUUCUGAUCUUCUUCGUUUCAUUAAAUGAACCGAAUUUAUUUAUUGUAAUAAUAAUAAUAAUAAUAAAAUUAUAAUAGAUGCUAUCUUUGAAGGAGAAUUUCGCGAUAGUACGUUUCAUGGCUAUGGUAGUCUAUAUUGGCCUUGUGGGCAAAGAAUGGACGGAAUUUGGAUCCAAGGUGAAUGUAGAGACAAGCAAUAUGUUUUUAACGAUGGAUUAAAUUUUCUUGAAACUGAUUGGAAGUAUUGCAAAUUUCCUGAUAGACGUCCAUUAGAUACCAACUGUGUCAUAAAUAUGGAUUGAAACCUGUUGGAUUAACUUUACGCACGAAUAAUCAAGACGAAUUUAUCAUUCCUCCUAAGUGUUACGAUGCAGGCAUCGGAAUUUUUAACCCAUCUCAGCAUACUAUUAUUUGCUAUUCAGACUUGAAAAAAGUAUAUACAUCAAAUAGAAAUAUCUUUCAUAUAAUAUAAUAUAUAAUGAUUCAUUAUUAUAUAUUCAAAUUCUGAAAAUAUUCGAAGAUAAUUGAGAUACCAAAUAUCAAAUUCGUUAACUGGAUAAAGGAAAAUUGUCAAAAGGCAUGGUCUGAACCAACUGAAACAAAUAUAAAAGCUUUCUACAAAUAUGAUAAGAAGAUUCCUUCAACAUUAUUACCAUUUUCAAAUAAUUCUUUUGAAUCCUGGUGGAAGAGGUACAAAUAAAAAUAUUCAAUUAUUAAAUAAUUGAAAAUAUUCAUUUUAAUUAUUUCUAUUCUUAUUUCUUUUAAGAUUAACUACUUUUCGUCGAGAUUCUACCUACGAACGAAAAAAAUCCUAUUGUUCAUGCAAAGAUAAAAUAUCAAGCGUUAAAAGAGAUAAAAAUCCCAUUGAAAUCCAUUUGGUUCAAACAGAUAUAGAAAAAAAUAUAUAAAACAGAUAAAAAUAUAAUAAAAAAUAAAUCAUUUUUCUAAUUUAAUAAUUUAAUUUUACUCUUGCUGUAA